GUGGCGAAGGGCUGGGAGCCUGCUGCAGUUCCGACUGGAGAGGAGGGGCGGAACCCGGCAGCUGAUUGGUCGAGGCCAAGGAGGCGGAGCUUGGCCGGCGCCCUGACCCCAGAGCCCAAGCUUUGUUAGUUUCUACCCAAGAUUUGGCAUCAAAGCCCUGACAGAGACCCUGACGUCCACUUUCCUGGCUAUGACAUGAAAAGCUUUGCUUUGCUACACACACCUGAUGUGCUGAAUCACCUUGGGCACAAAAGCAACAGGUGCAAUGGAUAAUGGACUGAAGCUUCCAUAACUACAGAAGAACAUUGAUGUCUUGAUAUUUGCUGGGCUGGAUAAUCACUGAUUCAUAGCAGAAGGCAGGCGGAGGUACUUCUAAUAAGCACAAACAAGGAGUUGAAGCACUAAUAAUACCUGCUGCUUUAUCAACUCUAAAACAGAGGUCCUGUUGCUGGUAACAUCCAUAUGACUACAGUUCUACUGUCAACGAUUCAAAAGUACUUUCCACAUAUG
ensembl:lncRNA